rnacentral:rRNA from 1 species
GACGAACGCUGGCGGCGUGCUUAACACAUGCAAGUCGAACGGAAAGGCCCUGCUUUUGUGGGGUGCUCGAGUGGCGAACGGGUUAUUAACUCUUGUGUAACCUGCCCUUGACUUUCGGAUAACUUUAGGAAACUGGGGCUAAUACCGGAUAGUAGCUCCUGCUGCAUGGUGGGGGUUGUAAAGUUUCGGCGGUUGGGGAUGGACUCGCGGCUUAUCAGCUUUUUGUUGGGGUAGUGGAUUACCAAGGCUUUGACCGGUAGCCGGCCUGCGAGGGUGACCGGACAAAUUAGAAUUGAGAUACGGCCCAGACUAGAACGGGGCGCAGCGGUGGAGAGUGGUACACAAUAGGCGGAAGGCUGAUGCAGCAACGCCGCGUGGGGGAUGAGGGGCUGGGGGUUGUAAACCGAUUUCGCCUGAGACGGGGAGUGAGUGACGGUAAUGGGUAAAGAAGCACCGGCUAACUACGUG